rnacentral:rRNA from 1 species
GACGAACGCUGGCGGCGUGCUUAACACAUGCAAGUCGAGCGGUAAGGCCCUUUCGGGGGUACGACGAGCGGCGAACGGGUGAGUAACACGUGGGUGACCUGCCCUCAGCUCUGGGAUAAGCCUGGGAAACCGGGUCUAAUACUGGAUAUGACUCCAUGACGCAUGUUGUGGGGUGGAAAGCCUUGUGCGGCUGAGGAUGGGCCCGCGGCCUAUCAGCUUGUUGGUGGGGUGANGGGCCUACCAAGGCGACGACGGGUAGCCGGCCUGAGAGGGCGACCGGCCACACUGGGACUGAGACACGGCCCAGACUCCUACGGGAGGCAGCAGUGGGGAAUCUUGCGCAAUGGGCGAAAGCCUGACGCAGCGACGCCGCGUGAGGGA